rnacentral:rRNA from 1 species
CCAGCAGCCGCGGUAAUUCCAGCUCCAAUAGCGUAUAUUAAAGUUGUUGCAGUUAAAACGCUCGUAGUCUGAUGUAAUGGGGACUGGUGUGGGGAGCAGCGAUGCUCUGUGCAGCGGUCCUCAUCAGGGGGCCAGCAAUGGCCCAGUUUACUUUGAGGAAAUUAGAGUGUUCAAAGCAGGCGAUUGCUUGAAUACUGCAGCAUGGAAUAAUGGAAUAGGACUCGCGUCUUAUUUUGUUGGUUUGGAGAUGUGAGUAAUGAUGAAUAGGGACAGUUGGGGGCAUUCGUAUUUCGUUGUCAGAGGUGAAAUUCUUGGAUUUACGAAAGACGAACUGCUGCGAAAGCGUUUGC